rnacentral:rRNA from 1 species
UUGAACGCUGGCGGCAGGCCUAACACCUGCCCGUCGAGCGGAUGAAGGGAGCUUGCUCCUGGAUUCAGCGGCGGACGGGUGAGUAAUGCCUAGGAAUCUGCCUGGUAGUGGGGGAUAACGUCCGGAAACGGGCGCUAAUACCGCAUACGUCCUGAGGGAGAAAGUGGGGGAUCUUCGGACCUCACGCUAUCAGAUGAGCCUAGGUCGGAUUAGCUAGUUGGUGGGGUAAAGGCCUACCAAGGCGACGAUCCGUAACUGGUCUGAGAGGAUGAUCAGUCACACUGGAACUGAGACACGGUCCAGACUCCUACGGGAGGCAGCAGUGGGGAAUAUUGGACAAUGGGCGAAAGCCUGAUCCAGCCAUGCCGCGUGUGUGAAGAAGGUCUUCGGAUUGUAAAGCACUUUAAGUUGGGAGGAAGGGCAGUAAGUUAAUACCUUGCUGUUUUGACGUUACCAACAGAAUAAGCACCGGCUAACUUCGUG